UAAUAAAAGAUUGCUAAAAGUUAUGUACGCUCACGUUAAAGUGCAAGGACUGUAUAAGCUACAUUUAAUCGUCAAUACCCUAAAUCACACACGUUUUUCCCUCUAAAUGCACGAAACAGCGAACUGAAAGUUUACAUAUCUAGGGGUUAUAUACAUGUGUUACGAUCUAAAGGAUCAAAAUAUCCUUUUUUUUUAAUCUCGAACAUCCUUAUUUGUUACCGGCCCAUAUCGCGACAGCAACAGAAACGCACGAACAAUGAAAUCUAAAUAUGCGUCGUGUGGGCACGUUUUUUCUGCGCUUUCUCGCACAGUAAUCUAAAACAAAUAUUUUGACGUGUGGUGUGCGGCAGUCAUUCAUUUCCAAACCAUAUCACAAACAGAGAGUGGACACGUUUCAGUCACGAAUUUGCAGCUAUAGCAACGUGCCAUAUUUUCUCGGAGAAGCAGUGCGCUCUUAUUUUAAAGUUCGUGCGACGCGGGCGCAUGGAUUGCCGUUAUUACGUCCGCAGAAUACAAAAGGACAUACGAUGAAAGAUAAAAUGGUGACUCUCUAAGGGUUUUCAUGGUCGAGCGGCAGCAGAAAUCCGUUAGAUCGGUGGGAGGAAACAGUCUAGUGCGCAGCGCCAAGAUUUUCAAAUUUAGGCGCUUUCAUCGUAUAAACCUUCACGAUUGUCUCCAAACUUACGCCGCGAGAGAAGACGACACUUGCGGGGUGUUCGGCGUUUCAAAACGCAAGGGCUUUUUUAUUUAUGAAGAUGUCAUGCAGUGAUCUUCUUCCUGUUUGCGCGGCUGCGUAAAACCUUUUAGAAACGCACGAUGCCUGCUCAAGCUUUUUUUUUUUUUUUUUUUGUUGCUCCAAAUCUAAUGAAUUACAUUUACGACAAUUAUUCAGCUCUCGGCGUGGUUUUAUAUCGACUGUCAACGUGGAAAAAGGAUCAGUUCGAUUUUAACCAAAAGAAGACACGAGGGAGCAUCAUGUGGCAGACCUUUCAUCUGCAUUUCACAAACUGUUUGCCCAUUCCUGUGUCUGAUUUUUUCCCAAGUGCCUGAUGUUUAAUUGCUCAACUGCAAUAUUUUGUUUUGUCCCAGUGAGGUCACCGAGUGUCAGAAUCUUUCAUCUUAGAAAAACACUUGUUUGUCAUUAUAUACUGACCCGGUCUAUUUAUGUCAUGUUUCACAUCAAUAUAACAUAAUAGUCUAUAGUCUGUGAUAAGUGCUUUUCAACCCCAUGCUUUUUUAAAAUACUAUUUUUAAAUGUAAUGUAUAUGUAAAAAAUACACCAUAAAAAGUGGUAACCUACAAUUAUUAACUUAAAGAGCUAUUACCUAUAAAAGCUAGCUUUGUUGAUAUAAAUUGAUAAAUAUAAGAUGGUUCCGUGAUAUUAAAUAGCAUUUUUGACUUGAACCGAACAAGCUAUUUUAGAUGUUUUAUUCAUUAUGUAGUAAUAAAAAUAAAUGGCUGACCUGUCUUGCAUUAUGUUUGAAAGUUAAAGCAGGAUGCUGAAUAAAACACCCAUUGCAUUACA